GACUGUUUGCGCUAUACCUUUCCAUUUUGUCCUUUCAUGUGUUAUAUGAGUGUUUGCAGACACUCGGAUUAAGGAGCAGCGGCAGUUCUAAACCUUCCUGCACCCACCCACUCUCCAUUGUGCCGGUCAGAGGUCACAACGGAACACGCCGAGGAUCGUCAGACUUCAGAGAAUAGAGAGACACAUUAGGAGAUGGAGGCUACUCAUGUACAGAAUGGCUGUUGACUCCCUAUAACAACCCACAGACCAGAAGUCAAGUACGUUUCAAUGAAGCUCACCGAUCUACCAGGGGGAUAAUUGAGAGGACUUUCAGUCUUUUGAAAAUGCGGUUUUGAUGUCUUGAUCGUUCUGGUGGUGCUAUGCAGUAUGCACCUGAGAAAGUUGCAAAAAUUAUAUUGGUUUGCUGCAUACUGCACAAUAUAGCAAUAAAAAGAGGCUGUCCAUUAGAAGAUGAAAAUACCAUAGAUGCUGAUGAUUUAACAGAAGAAAUAUGUGUAGAACAAGCUAAUAGGCGUGGUAUGGCAACAAGGGACAUGGUUUCCGAACAAUAUUUUGAAGAUUAAAAUUCCUGUUUUCAGUUGAUCAAUAAAAAAACUUUCUUUA